rfam:Rattus norvegicus chromosome 6, whole genome shotgun sequence.
GGGGAUUUAGCUCAGUGGUAGAGCGCUUGCCUAGGAAGCGCAAGGCCCUGGGUUCGGUCCCCAAGCUCCG